GCCCCCAUCGUCUAGCGGCCUAGGAUACCAGGUUCUCAUCCUGGCGACAGGGGUUCGAGUCCCCUUGGGGGUA
rnacentral:tRNA from 1 species